rnacentral:rRNA from 1 species
GCCCUUAGAGUUUGAUCCUGGCUCAGGACGAACGCUGGCGGCGUGCUUAACACAUGCAAGUCGAACGAAGCAGAAGUCGGUCAUCAGAGGUCAGAAGUUGGAGAGGAGGGUUUUUCAGCCCGAUUUUCCGUAUUUUUGAGUGCAUGGGGGUGGAUUAAGGAGGAUGAUCUACUUCAAUGUGCGGAUUAUUUCUGACAUCUGACUUCCGAUGACCGACUUCUGACUUAGUGGCGGACGGGUGAGUAACACGUGGGUAACCUACCUGAAAGACCGGGAUAACAGCUCGAAAGGGCUGCUAAUACCGGAUAAAGUAAGAGAUUGCUAUGAUUUCUUACCAAAGGCGUUAUGUAGUGCUUUCAGAUGGGCCCGCGGCUCAUUAGUUAGUUGGUGGGGUAAAGGCCUACCAAGGCGAUGAUGGGUAGCCGGUCUGAGAGGAUGGUCGGCCACACUGGGACUGAGAACGGCCCAGACUCCUACGAGAGGCAGCAGUGGGGAAUAUUGCGCAAUGGGGGCAACCCUGACGCAGCGACGCCGCGUGAGUGAAGAAGGCCUUCGGGUUGUAAAGCUCUGUCUGGGGGGAAGAA